rnacentral:rRNA from 1 species
GCACCUCGAUGUCGGCUCAUCACAUCCUGGGGCUGAAGUAGGUCCCAAGGGUAUGGCUGUUCGCCAUUUAAAGUGGUACGCGAGCUGGGUUUAGAACGUCGUGAGACAGUUCGGUCCCUAUCUGCCGUGGGCGCUGGAGAACUGAGGGGGGCUGCUCCUAGUACGAGAGGACCGGAGUGGACGCAUCACUGGUGUUCGGGUUGUCAUGCCAAUGGCACUGCCCGGUAGCUAAAUGCGGAAGAGAUAAGUGCUGAAAGCAUCUAAGCACGAAACUUGCCCCGAGAUGAGUUCUCCCUGACCCUUUAAGGGUCCUGAAGGAACGUUGAAGACGACGACGUUGAUAGGCCGGGUGUGUAAGCGCAGCGAUGCGUUGAGCUAACCGGUACUAAUGAACCGUGAGGCUUAACCUUACAACGCCGAAGCUGUU